rnacentral:ncRNA from 2 species
UGAUUCACCUAGGGGUGCCCUCAUGGCUGAGAGCGCAAAAGCGUAACCCUUUGAACCUGAACUAGUUAGAGCUAGCGGAGGAAAGUGUGGAAGAAUGAAAA